rnacentral:rRNA from 1 species
GACGAACGCUGGCGGCGUGCUUAACACAUGCAAGUCGAACGGAAAGGCCCUGCUUGCAGGGUACUCGAGUGGCGAACGGGUGAGUAACACGUGGGUGAUCUGCCCUGCACUUCGGGUUAAGCCUGGGAAACUGGGUCUAAUACCGGAUAGGAGCCAUUUUUAGUGUGAUGGUUGGAAAGUUUUUUCGGUGUAUGAUGAGCUCGCGGCCUAUCAGCUUGUUGGUGGGGUAAUGGCCUACCAAGGCGGCGACGGGUAGCCGGCCUGAGUGGGUGGACGGCGACAUUGGGACUGAGAGACGGCCCAGACUCCGACGGGAGGCAGAAGUGGGGAAGAUUGAACAAGGGGCGCAAGCCUGAUGCAGCGACGCCGCGGGGGGGAUGACGGCCUUCGGGUUGAAAACUCCUUGCGCUAGGGACGAAGCUUGUUGUGACGGUACCUAGAUAAGAAGCACCGGCUAACUACGUG